AUUUUGUAGGUAUCUCUUUUGAAAAUGAGACUUUAAACAGUAUGGUUUCAAAGCUUGGUCAUAUAUGGCAGUAGUGGACCAGAGUGAUGGUCUCUAUAUUCAUUUUAGCAGGGGAAUUAGACAACGCAUUUGAUAUCAAAGUUUCUUUGAAUCUAUUUUAUCUGCACAGAAAUGAAAAUUCUCUUUGCAUGGAAUUAGCUGAAUGUCUUUGCUUUCUAGUACAAUAAAGCUUGGUUGCAAAACCAAAAUGCUGAUAUUCAUAAAAGUAAACUUUUCAUAAAAAACUGAAAACUGCUCGUAAAAUGUUUGGGAUGGUUAUUAUUAUUAUUAUUUUGAAUUUAUUGCCGGCAGCAAUAUAGUCUAAAAAGAACAAAAGGUUAUUAUUCUUUUAGCCAUAUUGUUGAGUUUUUAGAACCCAAAAGCAUAUGCAUAAAAAAUUCUCGAAUUUCUUUGAGAAUAAGUAGAUAAGGAGAAGAGGUGAACCAAUAUCAGAAUAACUGGAAGAUCUUUUGGAAUAUUAGUUUCUAAUUGCUAUGACCUUUAUUUUGAAUUGUUUUACUUGUGUUAAAAUGUUGAGUUCAUAUGACAAUGUUAUAUUUUGUCUAUGAUUAUUUUAUAGUACAAAAGAAUAUCAGCUUUGAAACUGUUCUAAGUGUGCUUUUGCCAUAAUAGCGUUGUUGGAAAUUAUUUUAAUAUGCAUUAAUAAAUCUUUUUCUGUGCUUCAAGUGUUCACCUGUCUUUCAAAGUUUUUUUUGCUAUUUCCAUUGCAUUUGCGGCAUGUUUACUAGAUAUUCCUUUUUCGGAGUCUUUUUAAAUGUCAUGCUGCAACAAAAUUUUGAUCCUUGUGCAUGAUAUUGCAUUAAAAAGCAUUGCAAUUUUAGGCUAUUUACCUUCGUGGAGAUGUUUUUCUUCUUAUUUUUGUGUCGAUUUUUAAUUAAGAAUUUGGAUUAUCUUCUUUAUUUUUAUUUUGUAUAUUCUUUUCAAUGAUGACCAAAAUUCUUUCAAACCUGAUAGUCUCUUGUACAAACUUUAUGAGAAAACAGGCUUUUAUAACAAUGGAAAAUGGAAAUGACAACUGCAAUUUCAUUUUUAACAUACGGUUCCCACCAUACUUAUAAAAGUAGCAUGUGCAACCCUCUUCAAAUUCUUUUGACGACAGAAUGUUCAUUUUUUUGGAUGUCGUACCAGUCUCGGUUACCAUCCUUGUGCUAUGUCUUGAUAGUCUUCUUCUUUUUUUAAUCUUCUUUCCAAGAGGAUGAAAUAAUGAAUAAGCUGCCCAUCUUUUGAUUUGUCCUUUGAAUUUUUUUUUUGAUAAAUAAUUUAUCCUUUGAACUUUUCAUCCUUGAGAUCCCACUUAUCUGCUAACUGGGGGUUGAAAAGUUGCAUGGCCCAUGGUUAGCCAAAUUCUCCCCAUGAUUAUUCUUAGAUGCAUGACGGUGGCAUGAAUAUGCAAGUGGUUAUUGGAUUAGGAGUUGUUUCUGGAUUUUAUUUUUUGUUUUGUUGGAGAUGCAUUUUCUUUCUGUGUUUUCUUACUUGUAGAGGAUGCCUCACCCUUGCCUCUUUUUUGAUCUAUUCAAUAAAUUCUGUUUUUGCUGAUACAAAAAAAAAAGUCCUGUCAUUUGAAUUCAGAGGUGGUUGAUUGGUUUUGAAUGGUAUAAUUUCUUCUUAUCCUGAUGUUUGUUGUUUUUUACUGUCUGAGGUGCAUUCUUUACAGAAAGCUGUAUAGGGUACAAGCUUCAGUUCACAAGUCAAGCUCACUUAUAAAUGGUGUAGAAUUCAAUUUAUUUGAUGAGCUUGCUAAGGCUUGGUUUGGCUUAUGAAGCAUUGUUGGAGGAUAAUUUAAGAGCAACCCACCACUUGCCUUGAUGAGUUUGGAUCAUUGAAUAUUAAGCAAGAUCAGUCAGUUUAUUAUGCUGACAUGUGCUAGAUGAAGUUGUAUCCUCCUAAUGAUUGGCUAGUGGGGUCAUCCUUGCCCUCUAAAUUCAGCCCAACCAUUAUUGAAUCAGCACUCAAUGAGCUUACCCCAAACAAUGUUAGGAUCCAAAUGCCAUUGUUUCAAGUAUACUCAUAACAUGUGGUUUGGCUGGCAUAAUAUGAAAGCAUGUUUAAGGUGAAUGUUCAUUUAUUUCAU